rnacentral:tRNA from 1 species
GAAAGCGUAGCUUUGGACAGCUUGAUAGAGCAUCUGACUACGAAUCAGAAGGUUACAGGUUUGAAUCCUGUCGAGGUCACAA